rnacentral:rRNA from 1 species
UACAGAGAGUGCAAACGUUGUUCGGAAUUACUGGGCUUAAAGCGCACGUAGGCGGCGCCGCAAGUGCGAGGUGAAAUCCCACGGCUUACCCGUGGAACUGCCUUGCAGACUGCGGUGCUCGAGGAUGGUAGGGGAGAGCGGAACUCCUGGUGGAGCGGUGAAAUGCGUAGAUAUCAGGAGGAACACCGGUGGCGAAGGCGGCUCUCUGGUCCAUUACUGACGCUGAGGUGCGAAAGCUAGGGGAGCAAACGGG